AUUGAACGCUGGCGGCAUGCCUAACACAUGCAAGUCGAACGGCAGCACGGCAGUAGCAAUACUGUGGGUGGCGAGUGGCGGACGGGUGAGGAAUACGUCGGAAUCUGCCCAGUCGUGGGGGAUAACUAGCCGAAAGGUUAGCUAAUACCGCAUACGACCGAGAGGUGAAAGCGGGGGACCGCAAGGCCUCGCGCGAUUGGAUGAGCCGACGUCGGAUUAGCUAGUUGGUGGGGUAAAGGCCCACCAAGGCGACGAUCCGUAGCUGGUCUGAGAGGAUGAUCAGCCACACUGGAACUGAGACACGGUCCAGACUCCUACGGGAGGCAGCAGUGGGGAAUUUUGGACAAUGGGCGCAAGCCUGAUCCAGCCAUGCCGCGUGAGUGAAGAAGGCCUCGG
rnacentral:rRNA from 1 species